rnacentral:rRNA from 1 species
GGCGGCAUGCUUUACACAUGCAAGUCGAACGGUAACAGGGAAAAGCUUGCUUUUCUGCUGACGAGUGGCGAACGGGUGAGUAAUACAUCGGAACGUGCCCUGUAGUGGGGGAUAACUACUCGAAAGAGUGGCUAAUACCGCAUACAACCUGAGGGUAAAAGUGGGGGACCGCAAGGCCUCACGCUAUAGGAGCGGCCGAUGGAAGAUUAGGUAGUUGGUAGGGUAAAGGCCUACCAAGCCGACGAUCUUUAGCGGGUCUGAGAGGACGAUCCGCCACACUGGGACUGAGACACGGCCCAGACUCCUACGGGAGGCAGCAGUGGGGAAUUUUGGACAAUGGGGGCAACCCUGAUCCAGCAAUGCCGCGUGAGUGAAGAAGGCCUUCGGGUUGUAAAGCUCUUUUGUUUGGGAAGAAAUCCCUAAGGAUAAUACCCUUGGGGGAUGACGGUACCAAAAGAAUAAGCACCGGCUAACUACGUGCCAGCAGCCGCGGUAAUACGUAGGGUGCAAGCGUUAAUCGGAAUUACUGGGCGUAAAGCGUGCGCAGGCGGUUUUGUAAG